UGGGGAAUAUUGGACAAUGGGCGAAAGCCUGAUCCAGCCAUGCCGCGUGUGUGAAGAAGGCCUUUUGGUUGUAAAGCACUUUAAGCGUGGAGGAGGAUACUUGGAUUAAUACUCUAGGAUAGUGGACGUUACUCGCAGAAUAAGCACCGGCUAACUCUGUGCCAGCAGCCGCGGUAAUACAGAGGGUGCGAGCGUUAAUCGGAUUUACUGGGCGUAAAGCGUGCGUAGGCGGCUUCUUAAGUCGGAUGUGAAAUCCCUGAGCUUAACUUAGGAAUUGCAUUCGAUACUGGGAAGCUAGAGUAUGGGAGAAGAUGGUAGAAUUCCAGGUGUAGCGGUGAAAUGCGUAAAGAUCUGGAGGAAUACCGAUGACGAAGGCAGCCAUCUGGCCUAAUACUGACGCUGUGGUACGAAAGCAUGGGGAGCAAACAGG
rnacentral:rRNA from 1 species